AUUAUAGAAGGUUAGGUAAGUAAACAGCUUUCUCGCUCCCUCUUGACAUAUCGGCUCCCUUAUUUGAAAACGUGUUGCUUCUUUACAAAAAAAAGUACCUAUUUCACAAAAAAAUUUUUGAAUUGUAGUAAAAACUAAACUUUUGGUGCAAAUUAUUUGGUCGGCAACACCGUUUCCACUUUGACGCUUUGCUUUGUUAUUAUUCGUUGAAAAUCUUUUAUCUGUUUGUAAACAUUCAAGUCGAUUAUGUCUUACAUAUGGUGAUAGUCGAUUAUUUGGAGUCGGCUUUCUGCUGCAGAAAACUACCGGUUUGUGAAUUUUCAUACAUGUUUUUAUAGCAGCGUUUUUGCAAAUAUAACAGAGACCACCUUACAUACAAUACAUAAACUACAGUUAGACUUCACAGACGGGCAAUUGCUGCGGAAGGUGUGUGUUGAAGAGCUAGGCGGCCCAACUAUUGUGGUUUUUAGAAACGAAACGCGCGUAUUUCUACCAUUGUCUCAUGUGGUGCUACGGACAAUUUCAUAGGAGACAUGGAGCGUGUUGUGUAUGAUGGUACAAAUACCUGUUUAACAUGUGACGGUCAUUAUGUGCCUAGUACUGCUACCUCUGAAAUCAAUUUGACUUCCGAACUGGCUGUCCACGUCGAUACCUUACCCCAUCUAGAACAAUAUGCUGUACGUAGAUGUAUGCGCAACACCUACACGAGCAAGUCCUCGCGCUUUAAAUCUACAAUUACAGACAAGUUUUUGAUUUCUGCCUGAAGUAAGUGCAGCGUUCCAACACCUAUACGAGCAAGUGCACCCACAUUCCUCAUAUUUCCUCUCCGAUUCAUUACUGAGACACGUGGUAUUGAUAUACAUACGUAAAUUUACAAACCAUCACAAUUACUAAAAGUGGAUUAUAUUACCAAUAUCUAAAAUUUUUCGAUGUAUGAGUUUUAGUCUAUAAUAAUACAUUUUCCUAUUAAUAUUAGGGACGCAAAGUAUAUUAAGAAAUGAUCGACUGAACUUCUGCUUUCGCAAUGUCUUUACGGUAACAUACUACAUGUAUCUACAUGUAUUGUUAUGCACGAAAUAAGAAAAAAAAUUAAACUUUCUGUUUCAUCUCAUUCCUGUCGAUUAAAUAUAUUUUGACCUUUGGUGUAUUAAAAGACUUGUACUAUUGUAGUAAAUUAAACACAUUAAAUUCC